AAACUUGAGAGUUUGAUCAUGGCUCAGAACGUACGCUGGCGGCACGCCUAACACAUGCAAGUCGAACGAAGUAGCAAUACUUAGUGGCAGACGGGUGAGUAACAUGUAGGUAUCUGCCCUUUGGCCUGGAAUAACACGAGGAAACUUGUGCUAAUACCGGAUAAGUCUUUACGGAGAAAGCUUUAUGCACCAUUGGAUGAGCCUGCACUUGAUUAGUUUGUUGGUGGGGUAAUGGCCUACCAAGACUGUGAUCAAUAGCUGAUUUGAGAGGAUGAUCAGCCACAUUGGGACUGAGACACGGCCCAAACUCCUACGGGAGGCAGCAGUGGGGAAUCUUGCACAAUGGAGGAAACUCUGAUGCAGCGAUGCCGCGUGAGUGAAGAAGGCCUUUGGGUUGUAAAGCUCUUUCGUCGGGGAAGAAAAUGACUGUACCCGAAUAAGAAGGUCCGGCUAACUUCGUGCCAGCAGCCGCGGUAAUACGAAGGGACCUAGCGUAGUUCGGAAUUACUGGGCUUAAAGAGUUCGUAGGUGGUUGAAAAAGUUGGUGGUGAAAUCCCAGAGCUUAACUCUGGAACUGCCAUCAAAACUUUUCAGCUAGAGUAUGAUAGAGGAAAGCAGAAUUUCUAGUGUAGAGGUGAAAUUCGUAGAUAUUAGAAAGAAUACCAAUUGCGAAGGCAGCUUUCUGGAUCAUUACUGACACUGAGGAACGAAAGCAUGGGUAGCGAAGAGGAUUAGAUACCCUCGUAGUCCAUGCCGUAAACGAUGUGUGUUAGACGUUGGAAAUUUAUUUUCAGUGUCGCAGCGAAAGCGAUAAACACACCGCCUGGGGAGUACGACCGCAAGGUUAAAACUCAAAUGAAUUGACGGGGACCCGCACAAGUAGUGGAGCAUGUGGUUUAAUUCGAAGAUACGCGCAGAACCUUACCAACACUUGACAUGUUCGUCGCGACUCUAAGAGAUUAGAGUUUUCGGUUCGGCCGGACGAAACACAGGUGCUGCAUGGCUGUCGUCAGCUCGUGUCGUGAGAUGUUGGGUUAAGUCCCGCAACGAGCGCAACCCUCACUUUUAGUUGCCAUCAUUAAGUUGGGCACUCUGAAAGAACUGCCAGUGAUAAGCUGGAGGAAGGUGGGGAUGACGUCAAGUCCUCAUGGCCCUUACGUGUUGGGCUACACACGUGCUACAAUGGUAUCUACAACAGGAAGCAAGACUGCGAGGUUAAGCAAAUCCUUAAAAGAUACCUCAGUUCGGAUUGCACUCUGCAACUCGAGUGCAUGAAGCUGGAAUUACUAGUAAUCGUGGAUCAGCGUGCCACGGUGAAUGCGUUCCCGGGUCUUGUACACACCGCCCGUCACACCAUGGGAGUUGGUUCUACCUUAAGGCAAGGUUUCAAACCCUUGACCACGGUAUAGUCAGCGACUGGGGUGAAGUCGUAACAAGGUAGCCGUAGGGGAACCUGCGGCUGGAUUACCUCCUUU
rnacentral:rRNA from 1 species